rnacentral:lncRNA from 1 species
AGCCAAAUAAAUAUUUAUUUUCAGAUAUGGUAAUAAUACAGUGAUAAGAGCUUCUUAUGGAGUUAAGAAAGGAGAAUACACCAAGAAAAAUGGAAAGAAAUGAGGUUUUCUUUUUGAAAGAUGUGUACUUGCGUAGAAUUUCUUAAGAAAACCUCACCAAUUGUAUUCUGCUUUUCAAUGAACAUGUAUGCCAAAAAAGAGUCAAGCUGGAGCAACAAGAUUGUCGCCUUCAAAUUAGUCCUGCAAAUACCUCUUCAGAAAAUUAUACUCUCGAUCAUUUAAAUCCAUGGACUCUAUGCUGAACCUCCCGAACCUGCUUUUCCUAAUGGUUGUUCUACACUGCUAGAAAUGUAUUAUUGUUAUGAAGAGAUGCAGUGUACAACAAAUAUGUGCAAGGUACUGGAAAUAUGAACGUCCGGUAGACAUCAGAAAGAAAAUUCUAUAGAAGAAUCAACGAACAAUCGCAGGACUUUAUGCUGUAUAUGUCUAACAAUAAAUUUAUAAUUAAAUGUGUUAA